rnacentral:rRNA from 1 species
GAUGAACGCUGGCGGCGUGCCUAAUACAUGCAAGUCGAGCGAACAGACGAGGAGCUUGCUCCUCUGACGUUAGCGGCGGACGGGUGAGUAACACGUGGAUAACCUACCUAUAAGACUGGGAUAACUUCGGGAAACCGGAGCUAAUACCGGAUAAUAUAUUGAACCGCAUGGUUCAAUAGUGAAAGACGGUUUUGCUGUCACUUAUAGAUGGAUCCGCGCCGCAUUAGCUAGUUGGUAAGGUAACGGCUUACCAAGGCAACGAUGCGUAGCCGACCUGAGAGGGUGAUCGGCCACACUGGAACUGAGACACGGUCCAGACUCCUACGGGAGGCAGCAGUAGGGAAUCUUCCGCAAUGGGCGAAAGCCUGACGGAGCAACGCCGCGUGAGUGAUGUAGGUCUUCGGAUCGUAAAACUCUGUUAUUAGGGAAGAACAAAUGUGUAAGUAACUAUUCACGUCUUGACGGUACCUAAUCAGAAAGCCACGGCUAACUACGU